GGUUUCUGGAAGAUCUCUGUGACCAACUGCAGAUCAUUUACGUAGUUCUCUUCUGUGACAAUGAGCUCAUGGAUGUAUCCCUGCCUUUUUCGUUCAGUAGGUGUCAGCAUAUCCAGAAGAUGCAAGUCUGCACACCAUUGCUGGCUUGGGUCCAUAUCUGUUGUCAGCUUCACAUAGUUGGAUGGGAAGAGACCCACUUGUCCAUUCACCUCCCCUUUCCACCAGUCUGGGUCUUCCUUGUUAAGGACGUUUAUAAUCUGGCCUUUAUUGAAUGCUAGCUCAUCAUCAUUCUGUGCAGUGUAGUCAUACAUGCCAAUUACUUGGCACACUGAAGGUAAUGCUGUUGAUUUAGGUAGCUCGGUUGGUGUAGUUUUACUGGUACCAGGGCUCAAAAGUUUCACAUAAUUAGCAGGAAACCAUCCUAUUUGUCGUUUUUUCCCUCGUGCUUGGAGCUCUCCUUCCCACCAGCCACCUGGGUUCUUCUUUCUGAUAAGAAUCAACUGACCAGGAGCAAGGGUGAGUUGUUCUGGACCCGUUGCUGUGUAAGAGGCAAUAACUUGGGCAAUUUCAGGUUUCUUCCCUAAGCUUCCUGUUUUUCCAGCUGCUCCAGAAGCCUCAGAAUCUUUGAGUCUCACAUAAUUUGAUGGGAAAACUCCUGUUUUAUCACCCAGUGUUCCUGUCCACCAGUCGCCAUCUUUCUUUGUCACAAGAAUCAUAUCACCCUGCUGAAAGGUUAGGUCUCCUUGUUCAGAACUCUCAUAAGUAUACAUAGCAACAUAUUCUUCACCUGACAUAGUUGCUUUAGCUGCUGGUGAUGCUACUCUUUUCAGACUAGCAGGACUUUCUGAAGAACCAGAAUCCAUGCUUGUUGACUUCCUAAUGGGGCCUGAAAUAAGCUUCACAUAUGACUUAGGAAACCACCCCUUUUGUCCUUGAACUUCUCCAAACCACCACAUAUCUUGCUGCUCUAAAACUGUGAUGACAUCAUUUUUGUUGAAAUUUAGGUGGUUGUCUUUUUUUGCUCUCCAAGGAUACAGAGCCUGUGCUUGAAGUCCCUCCACUUUUUCACCCUGACCCAAUACAGGAGAGGGAGACGAUCCUGUAACAGUGGCGGGGGUGAAGGCUGAUCGCUGCCGCAGCUGCCCUGCACUGGGAACAGUCAAAGAUGGUUGAGCUGCCCAGGCAUCCCAGUUGUCUGUCUCUGGUUUCUCAUUAGUGUUUGCUGGCCAUGUUGAACUGAAGUCUGCCCAGUUGUUAGCAGUUGUCGUGCACUCUGUAGAUGCAGCAGUUCCUAGUGAUGUGGUUGUUUCAUGCACAGAAACUUUAGGUGCAGGAGCUGCCUCAACUGGUUUUAUAGAUGCUGGAACUUCACUUUCAGGUAUUUUUUCUGCGUAGUUUGCUGGGAACCAUCCAGUUUUUCCCUUCAAUUCUCCACCAAGCCACCCUGG
rnacentral:lncRNA from 1 species